AAUUGGAGGGCAAGUCUGGUGCCAGCAGCCGUGGUAAUUCCAGCUCCAAUAGCGUAUAUUAAAGUUGUUGCAGUUAAAAAGCUCGUAGUUGAAUUUCGGGAUCAAUAUUUCGGUCAUGCCGUUGGUAUGCACUGUUAUCAUUGAUUUCUCACCUUCUAAAGAACCGUAAUGCCAUUAAUUUGGUGUUACGGGGAAUUAGGACUGUUACCUUGAAAAAAUUAGAGUGUUUAAAGCAGGCUCACGCUUGAAUACAUUAGCAUGGAAUAAUGAAAUAGGACAUCCGAUUCUAUUUUGUUGGUUUCUAGGAUCGAUGUAAUGAUUAAUAGGGAUAGUUGGGGGCAUUAGUAUUCAAUUGUCAGAGGUGAAAUUCUUGGAUUUAUUGAAGACUAACUACUGCGAAAGCAUUUGCCAAGGAUGUUUUCAUUAAUCAAGAACGAAAGUUAGGGGAUCGAAGACGAUCAGAUACCGUCGUAGUCUUAACCAUAAACUAUGCCGACUAGGGAUCGGAUGAUGUUAAUUUUUUAAUGACUCAUUCGGCGCCUUACGGGAAACCAAAGUGU
rnacentral:rRNA from 1 species